rnacentral:rRNA from 1 species
GUUAGCCUACGGGGGGCAGCAGUGAGGAAUAUUGGUCAAUGGGAGAGAUCCUGAACCAGCCAAGCCGCGUGAGGGAAGACGGCCCUAUGGGUUGUAAACCUCUUUUGUCGGAGAACAAAACCCGGGACGUGUCCCGGACUGCGUGUAUCCGAAGAAAAAGCAUCGGCUAACUCCGUGCCAGCAGCCGCGGUAAUGCGGAGGAUGCGAGCGUUAUCCGGAUUUAUUGGGUUUAAAGGGUGCGUAGGCGGAAUAUCAAGUCA